rnacentral:lncRNA from 1 species
CUCCAGUGAACCUCUGGGGAAAAGCCAUUCCACAUCCGGGUUUCUGACGUUCCAGCAAGUAACUGGUGAACGCUGCCAAUUUGCUGCGAAACCACAGCGAUGGCCUGCCGCCCUGGUUUCUGCACGGGGACGUAGCUAAGAUGAACAGUGGUCCAUUCUGGGGGUUUGUUUAGCUCUGCAACUAGAAGCGAAAGACUAUUUAUCAAUCAAUGGUUUCCAAAAAUGGGUGUUGGAGACAAUCUAAGGAGAAUCUGAAGAGAUGGAGCUCCCGUGACUCCCUGGGCGUGGAGACUGCAGUUGCUGAGUCUUCCAAGAAGCACGAGGGAGCCAAGGAGCUUGUGUCCAUGGUCUUAGUAAGGUGGGCGCCACAUGGGAAUAGCAAGAGAAGCAUCUUUCUUUCGUGCCAUCCCCUCCACUCUUCUGUGACAAAGACCAACAUGGCAGUGCAGCUAUUGCCUGAAAGCUGUCAAAAUCCCACUGGCAAACCCCUGAUGGAUCACUUCACAGCAAGGGACCUGGGGGGAGAGACCCUACAGUUUCCUUUUCCCAGGCUUUGUUCUAAUGUCAUCUUUGUCCCAUCUUACUAGUUCUUCCCUUUCUUCCUAAUCACAAUUUCUUUUAUCAUGGCUGAGCGUACUUUUCCACUGCAAAAGCAAGCCAGGGAACUUGCUUCAGAUGACAGAGCAAAGGUCUGCACAAUGGAAAAAAAAAGCAAACCAAGGGCUGUAUGUAUGCAUGUGAGCAAAGCUGCCUCCACUCCCAAUUCAUUGCACAAUAGCUGCACAACUCGUACACCUGGGGGGUGAUCCUUUACUGCCAUCAUGAUUGUUCCUAGUUAGGUCACUGCCACCCACUCUCCUAAUGUGGGCAGCACGCCACUCUGAGAGGCAGUGCAAAGAACGCGGGCCCCCACAGUCCAUCCGACUCACCUUUGAAGUCCGGGCUCUGUUACUCAUUAGCAGACAAGUCAUUAGGCUUCUCUGAGGCUUAAUUUUCUGAUCCCUAAAGUGAAGAUAAAGGUCCCCACCUUCCUGGGUUGCCUUAAGGAUUAUGUUCAGGGUGCCAGGCACAUAAGUUCUCAAAAAAUGAGCUAUUCCAGUGUUCAGAGUCUUACACUGUGAUGGGGAAGAAAAUGGUGAAUCAGAUUUGUUUCUUUUUGGGGGAGCCUAAACAAGAAGGAAGAGCUGGUAAAUUUUUGGAUUAAUG